UCUUGGUCUCAAAAGAAAGCUGAGAUUACUACUGAAGUGUCAAAAUCAAGAUAUGUGUUACUGUGACAGAAUACAUUUACCUGGAACACACUAGAAGAUGUAAAUGUUAUCUCAUUUUGU